UGCAGUCGAGCGGACAGAUGGGAGCUUGCUCCCUGAUGUUAGCGGCGGACGGGUGAGUAACACGUGGGUAACCUGCCUGUAAGACUGGGAUAACUCCGGGAAACCGGGGCUAAUACCGGAUGCUUGUUUGAACCGCAUGGUUCAGACAUAAAAGGUGGCUUCGGCUACCACUUACAGAUGGACCCGCGGCGCAUUAGCUAGUUGGUGAGGUAACGGCUCACCAAGGCGACGAUGCGUAGCCGACCUGAGAGGGUGAUCGGCCACACUGGGACUGAGACACGGCCCAGACUCCUACGGGAGGCAGCAGUAGGGAAUCUUCCGCAAUGGACGAAAGUCUGACGGAGCAACGCCGCGUGAGUGAUGAAGGUUUUCGGAUCGUAAAGCUCUGUUGUUAGGGAAGAACAAGUGCCGUUCAAAUAGGGCGGCACCUUGACGGUACCUAACCAGAAAGCCACGGCUAACUACGUGCCAGCAGCCGCGGUAAUACGUAGGUGGCAAGCGUUGUCCGGAAUUAUUGGGCGUAAAGGGCUCGCAGGCGGUUUCUUAAGUCUGAUGUGAAAGCCCCCGGCUCAACCGGGGAGGGUCAUUGGAAACUGGGGAACUUGAGUGCAGAAGAGGAGAGUG
rnacentral:rRNA from 1 species